UUAGCAGUCUCCAGUGAUGUGGAAAAGAACUUAAGAGUUGCCCAGACAGUGUGAGAAAAGAGCUGAAGAAAUUUCUUAGAUGCAAUCAAUAGUUGCACAAAAAGUUGUAACAACUCUUGAUUGCCUUAUGGCAAUAGUGAGACUUCAGUUGUGUUUUUUUCCCUUCUUGGUGAGUAUGUAAUAUGAAACUUUACAUCUCCAGGAUACUAACAACAAAAAGAAAGAGUGCCAGCACGCAUGUACGCACGCACACGCAGGCAGGCAGAGAAAGCAGCUGGCUGUCAGUAACAAGGAUAAGAGAAACAGAGGAGGGAGAUAUGCGUUGAGAAUCAAAAAUGCAACGGGAGCUGACAUGAAAGGGCAGUGACACAAAAAUACAAAGGACAGAGAAAACAAAGUUCUUCAACGCCACUGGAGAAAAGCUCUUCUCAAACAGAACCACAGAGGAAGACUGAUCUGUUCAACUUACAGUUCAACGUCGUGAGGGAGAUGCUGUUGUCAUUCUUUCCUGGUAUCUGGAGGCAAUCAAGGUCCGGAUGGGAGUGAGCACACUGAAGCUGAAUCCAAGUACUGCAAUGGAAAUCUACAUUUAAAAUAGACUUUGCAAAGGAAGUCUACAUUUAAAAAUAUCAAUAUGUACAAUUUAGGAAAAAAUAAGUCUCCUUUACCUGCAAUCCCACAAGCCACCAUUAUUUAUUAUCAUAUGCUCCAAGUUUUUCCUAAGCCUUGCAAUGACACACUUUUUACUUUCUCACACUAAAUCCUAAACACUUAA